UCUUUAAAGCUGGAAUGCAAGCUUAUCCACUCUUCAACCAGACACCUGAUGGUAACAGACACCGACAAUGAUCUGACGGUAAAGCCAGAGCGGGGAUUGCCGUGAAACGCUUGACGCUUGCCUUGUGUCCCCUUGGUUGGGCAGUUUUCUAAUAUUUGCAAAGGUUUUACUCAAUUGCCCUGUGGGCCUUCAGCAAAGGACCACCAACCCCGCUGGCGUCUUCACCUCACUGGUCCAUGGUCUGUUGCCCUACGUUCUAGAUUCCAUCUCUAACAAGGGGCAGAGAAGCAAGAGCACUUAUACGUGAGAGAAAUUACAUGAAUACAACGUUUUCAAAUUCCUCUGGGAU